rnacentral:pre_miRNA from 1 species
AGCCUUCUGUAUUCGUGCUGAGAUUCCAUCAGAGAUCACCUCAUUGUGGCUGAUGGUACUUCUCAAAUAAGUGAAGCG